AUUGAACGCUGGCGGAAUGCUUUACACAUGCAAGUCGAACGGUAGAGGGGGCAACCCCUCGAGAGUGGCGAACGGGUGAGUAAUAUAUCGGAACGUGCCCAGUCGUGGGGGAUAACGUAGCGAAAGUUACGCUAAUACCGCAUACGAUCUAAGGAUGAAAGCGGGGGAUCGCAAGACCUCGCGCGAUUGGAGCGGCCGAUAUCAGAUUAGGUAGUUGGUGGGGUAAAGGCUCACCAAGCCAACGAUCUGUAGCUGGUCUGAGAGGACGACCAGCCACACUGGAACUGAGACACGGUCCAGACUGCUACGGGAGGCAGCAGUGGGGAAUUUUGGACAAUGGACGCAAGUCUGAUCCAGCCAUUCCGCGUGCAGGAUGAAGGCCCUCGGGUUGUAAACUGCUUUUGUACGGAACGAAAAGGUCUCUCUUAAUACGGGGGACUCAUGACGGUACCGUAAGAAUAAGCACCGGCUAACUACGUGCCAGUCGCCGCCGUAA
rnacentral:rRNA from 1 species